CCUACGGGAGGCAGCAGUAAGGAAUAUUGGUCAAUGGGCGCAAGCCUGAACCAGCCAUGCCGCGUGCAGGAAGACGGCCCUAUGGGUUGUAAACUGCUUUUGAACAAGAGAAAACCUCGGUACGUGUACCGAGCUGAUAGUAUUGUUAGAAUAAGCAUCGGCUAACUUCGUGCCAGCAGCCGCGGUAAGACGAAGGAUGCAAGCGUUAUCCGGAUUCAUUGGGUUUAAAGGGUGCGUAGGCGGCCUGAUAAGUCAGUGGUGAAAUCUCUCAGCUUAACUGAGAAACUGCCAUUGAUACUGUCGGGCUUGAGUACAGAUGAUGUGGGCGGAAUAUGACAUGUAGUGGUGAAAUACUUAGAUAUGUCAUAGAACACCGAUUGCGAAGGCAGCUCACAAAACUAGUAACUGACGCUAGAGGCACGAAAGUGCGGGGAUCAAACAGGAUUAGAUACCCUGGUAGUCCGCACCGUAAACGAUGAUUACUCGUUGUUGGCAAUAUGACCGUCAGNGACCCAAGCGAAAGCGANAAGAAUCACCUGGGAGUACGCCGGCAACGGUGAAACUCAAAGGAAUUGACGGCGNGAGAGNGCGAGACGACACGAGGGAGGAGG
rnacentral:rRNA from 1 species